rnacentral:rRNA from 1 species
AGAGUUUGAUCCUGGCUCAGAGCGAACGCUGGCGGCAGGCUUAACACAUGCAAGUCGAGCGGGCGUCUUCGGGCGUCAGCGGCGGACGGGUGAGUAACGCGUGGGAACGUGCCUUUUGGUUCGGGACAACUCCGGGAAACUGGAGCUAAUACCGGAUACGCCCUUGGAUGAGAGUCCUUGGGGAAAGAUUUAUCGCCGGGAGAUCGGCCCGCGUCUGAUUAGCUUGUUGGUGGGGUAACGGCUCACCAAGGCUACGAUCGGUAGCCGGUCUGAGAGGAUGAUCGGCCACACUGGGACUGAGACACGGCCCAGACUCCUACGGGAGGCAGCAGUGGGGAAUCUUGGACAAUGGGCGAAAGCCUGAUCCAGCGACGCCGCGUGGGUGAUGAAGGCCUUCGGGUUGUAAAGCCCUUUUCCCAGGGACGAUGAUGACGGUACCUGGGGAAUAAGCACCGGCUAACUCCGUGCCAGCAGCCGCGGUAAUAC